UCCCAUUCCUCUUCCGGGUUUCAUGUGGUCAACACGUUAGCAAUCGCUAGCCACAGCGAUGUCCCACCUCAGCCAGUGAUUGGUUCGGUAUUCGGCCCCGGCACCAGGAAGAAGACCGGGUCGGGCUUUAUACAUCAGAUUGCCAUUCAGAAAUCAUUGUAGUGGAGAAGACUUCGGCGUAGGUGCGGGCUUCAGAAAGGACACAGGAUACCGACAGAUCAUCCUUCGUGUGCUUCAUUACUGUAACUGGGUCAUGUGAUCACCAGUCUGACCCACAAAAACUCACAGUGCAUAAUGUGUCUGAGGAAGAGGCCAGUUCUGGGUCAGGUUUUUACGCUGAUGGCUUCACUGAUUCGUCAGCCUGGAGCGCCGCGGCACCACUUAUCGUCGCAGUUAUGCGUUAAUUAUACAAUAUAUUACAGGUCGAGACCUUAAAAAGGAACAAAUUACAGCUAUUCAAUAAAGCCAACAGCCGAGACAGGGAGGUGACUGCACCUUCAUACAAGAGAUGGAAGAACUAACAAGUAAAGCUGUAAAAUAAGUUAAUAAAGCCUGACCCGUAAA